rnacentral:rRNA from 1 species
GAUGAACGCUGGCGGCGUGCCUAAUACAUGCAAGUCGAGCGAACGGACGAGAAGCUUGCUUCUCUGAUGUUAGCGGCGGACGGGUGAGUAACACGUGUAUAACCUACCUAUAAGACUGGGAUAACUUCGGGAAACCGGAGCUAAUACCGUAUAAUCUUUUGAACCGCAUGGUUCAAAAGUGAAAGACGGUCUUUCUGUCACUUAUAGAUGGAUCCGCGCUGCAUUAGCUAGUUGGUAAGGUAACGGCUUACCAAGGCAACGAUGCAUAGCCGACCUGAGAGGGUGAUAGGCCACACUGGAACUGAGACACGGUCCAGACUCCUACGGGAGGCAGCAGUAGGGAAUCUUACGCAAUGGGCGAAAGCAUGACGGAGCAACGCCGCGUGAGUGAUGAAGGUCUUCGGAUCGUAAAACUCUGUUAUUAGGGAAGAACAUAUGUGUAAGGAACUGUGCACAUCUUGACGGUACCUAAUAAGAAAGCCACGGCUAACUACGUG